CAGUAGCCGGGUAAUACAGAGGGUGCGAGCGUUAAUCGGAUUUACUGGGCGUAAAGCGUGCGUAGGCGGCUUCUUAAGUCGGAUGUGAAAUCCCUGAGCUUAACUUAGGAAUUGCAUUCGAUACUGGGAAGCUAGAGUAUGGGAGAGGAUGGUAGAAUUCCAGGUGUAGCGGUGAAAUGCGUAGAGAUCUGGAGGAAUACCGAUGGCGAAGGCAGCCAUCUGGCCUAAUACUGACGCUGAGGUACGAAAGCAUGGGGAGCAAACAGGAUUAGAUACCCGAGUAGUCCCUGUCUCUUAUACA
rnacentral:rRNA from 1 species